AGCACAGUUAUCAAGAAUUGUGCCAAUGACGUAACGUUCAGGGGAUUCAGAUGGACAUGGCAGGCACCGUGAAAUGGUUCAGCGACAUCAAGGGCUUCGGUUUCAUCACGCCCGAUGAUGGGAGCGGAGAUGUCUUUGCGCACUUCUCCGCCAUCCAGAUGGAAGGCUUUCGCACCCUCAAGCAGGGGCACCGCGUCACCUUUGAGAUGAGCCAAGGCCCCAAAGGCUGCCUGGCCCUGAACAUCCGCGCACUGGCCGAUGCCGACAAGGCCACAGUUCCUUGAACCCGCUUGACGCCAGAUGUCAAAAACCCGCCAUUUGGCGGGUUUUUGCGU
rnacentral:sRNA from 1 species